rnacentral:sRNA from 1 species
GUCAGGUGUGGUGGUGCACACCUGUAAUCCCAGCAGCUCAGGAGGCUGAGGCAGGAGGAUCACAAGUUCAAAGCCUGACUCAGCAAUGACGAGGCACUAAGCAACUAGUGAGACCCUGUCUCUA